UGGGGAAUCAUGGUCAAUGGGCGAAAGCCUGAACCUGCGACGCCGCGUGAGUGAUGAAGGUCGUAAGAUCGUAAAACUCUUUUCAGGGAUCUUAAAGCCUGUCUGUCAACAACAGGCAGGUCUGACUCUCCCUGGAAGAAGCCCCAGCCAACUACGUGCCAGCAGCUGCGGUAAUACGUAGGGGGCGAGCGUUAUUCGGAAUUACUGGGUGUGAAGGGUAUGUAGGCGGCCCUUCAAGUCGCGUGUCAAAGUCCAGUGCUCAACGCUGGGUGUGCACGCGAUACUGACGGGCUUGAGGGCUGGAGAGGUGAGCGGAAUUCCCGGUGUAGUGGUAAAAUACGUAGAGAUCGGGAGGAACACCAGUGGCGAAGGCGGCUUCCUAGACUGUCUCUGACGCUCAUGUACGAAAGCGUGGGGAGCAAACA
rnacentral:rRNA from 1 species